AUAUAGAACAUGCUUCCCCGGCUUCCUAUAAAGAGGGGAGGCGCGUGUACACUGUGUACUAUCCAUCCCAGCCAAGGCAAUCCGUCCCAAAAGCUGUCCAAACCUCAUCACAACUCCGGGUCACCAGUGCCCCCCUGAGCUCCAGCCCUCCACAGCAGCAGACAUGAUCAUCAGACUGGGCAGACUGACUCCUGGAUACUUCCGCCUUCUCCAGAGACAAGUGGCGGGUGAGAUCCAGACCCAACCCCAGGACCGUGCCGUCAACCAGAUCGCCAUGAUGCUGGCCAUUAUGGGUCUGAGCCUGUCCUACUACAGUGCCAAACAGAUGACGGAGAAGGUCCAAGCCCAGCAGACACCCUGAACACAACGCUAGCCUUAAACGAAGAGAAGAAAAAGAAGAAUAAGUCGCAAGUGAAGGAGCUGAGAUGCGGGAGAUGGCGUCGGAAGUGUCACGGCGGACAGCACGUUCUACUUUCUCCACAGUCAACAGUCAACGCAUCCUCACUAUACGCAGAUUUCAGAACUGCUGCUGCUAGUGUUUUCCCUGCUUUAAUGUCGUUGGGACCUUAAGGGAAGUGUGGGGAUUGGGCAAGCUCGCCAGGGUUGGGGUGCCUGGUUUAGUUUAUUUUAAAGCAAUUCAAAAAUGGGUGAUCUAAACCAGUUUGUUCUCAACUGGGUCAGGGCAUUAGCUGUUUCUAAAGUUCAUGUGAGUAAGACGUAGCGAAAACUGGUAAAUAUUGAUUUUACUGUGAAUUUUAAAAACAGAUAACAGUUAUUUGCUUGUUGAACUUUGAGACAGAGUGGUGCCAGGUCCAGGAAGUAUUAGAUGAACCCGUUUUCUAGUUGUAUUUUUCCCUAAGUAGGAAAACAUGGCAGCACUGUCUGAACAGAGCUAUACUGUCUAAAAAUGUUUAUAGUGUAUAGAAAUAUUUGAAUUUAUUUGCACAUAACUCAUUCAUUUUGGAUCUUUCGUCAAACGGACUUCAACGACUCACUACCUACUUUCUUUCGUUCACAUCACGUUAUAUUUUUGUUUGGAGUUUUGUAACAAUGUUAUGGUUUUGUUUUUUUUUGCCUUAGUUGGCGGCCUUGUGGAAGACAUUCAAAAUUGCAUGGGUGUGCUAACUUUUUAUCCUUUUGAAUCUUUUUUUUGUUUUUAUUAUUGAUGAUGAAUGAAUGUAAUGACUUUUGUAAUUAUUGAAUAAAGCUGUGAAUAUAUUGUACAGUCAUAUAAAGGUGUACAGUGUUGACAUUGUGUAAGCUAAAAGGAAAGUGUUAAGUUGAGUAUGAACUGAGACUGUUAAAUGUCAGUGCUUAUAUUUGUGGUAAGGGAUUUGAAAAAGAAAUUUUUAAACCAUAUUCGUGAUUUGCCUGAAUAUGAUCAUUUGAAAAUUUUGUAGGCAAGAUUUUGUAGCAUAAAAUGGAAGAGUGAUUACAAUGUCCAUUGGUCACUGUAAGCCCAAAAUAGCUUUACCAAAAACUGUCAUACAGUGAAAACUAUUGAUAAAGCUAAUAAAACUAAAUAUUAUUAGGAUAUGACAUUUCACGUUAACGUUUGCUUAUUUUGCACAUCAUUGAGUUGUAUAAUCCAGGUCUGGCGCAGUUGUCAGUGCGUAUUGUCUAUCCGGAUGUGUGCGGUCCUGUUCACCGGCUGAUGUGAUGCGCUGUGACAAACUGAGAUCUGCUUGGGCGCCACCUAACCCCAUGGCCAUGAUGUAACUCCGCCCCCUUCCUCCUCACCACAUAUAACACCAUUCUCCGGCUUUAACCGAGUGGGCCUAUUGGUUGAGCUUGCGACACGUCACUGAAAUUGAAAUUCUGUGUGGGUGACAUAGGGUGAAGCUUUUGUUUUCUCCCUUUUUUAGUAGGGCUGUCAAAAUUAAAGGUGCACUGUGUAACUUUACUGGUGGAGAGUACGCUACCGGGUCAUGUCCAUGAAGGUGUUAUAGGUUUGAUGAGAAUGUUCCACAGUAUUGCAAUGUUUUUAUUGCUUAAAAAUACACUGAAAAACAUUCUUACUGUAAGCUGGACUGCCAUUCCAUUGAUCUGACCUGUAACUUGGCCUCAUGGUGUUACCUGCUUGUCUCCAUGGAGAUAUUAAUAGUUUAAGGCCAUUCAUUUGGGACGUUCUAAGCAAUGCAAUAACAUUUCCAUUGAGACAAGCAGGUGACAGACCCCCCCCCCACCAGAAAACUUUCUCAGUGCAGCUUUACAUAAUGCAAUGUAAUGAAGUCCCUUUUGACAAAACUGUUGGAAAUAAAGGAUUUUAAAGAAAGUGUAAACAAGAAGAAUAUUUUGAAAGCACCUUAAAUGACUCUGUGUAUAGACUACCGAUAAUUGUGCAAUAUUAUUUUGAUGAGCUAGCUAUAUCUGCCAUGGUAUUGUAGUUUGUAUCAAAUGUACUGUAAAUGUUCUAAUACAGGGGAUGAAGACGGUCCCAU